AUGACCAAGCAACGUUCCAGAGACGACAGAAAGCCUGCGCCCCAGCCCUACCAACCCGACCUGAACUAUGCUUCUCUGGACCUGAACGUGGGACAGAUACCCAAGAAGAGGAAGCGUCGCUACCAGCAGGCCCAGGUUCAGGCCCAGACCGUGCCCGAGACCCAGAUGGGUGGGGGUUUCCUGGAAAUAGAUGCAGAGAUGGAGGCCUCCCUCCCCUCACGGAGUAGCAGCCCUCUGGCUUCCAGAAACAGCAUCUACCUCAACAGUCUACAGAUGGCACUAGAGACAGAGGAGAGGGAAUAAAAGAGAGCCAAGGAGAUGGGGAGGGAGAUGGAGGAGGAUAGAGAGUGGGAUGGAGACAGGAAGUGGGAGAGGGGGAGAAAGACACAGUAGGUUAUGAUGGAGGGAUGGAGACAGGAAGUGGGGAGAGGGGGAGAAAGAUACAGUAGGUUAUGAUGUAGGGAUGGAGAUAGAGCUGGAGACGUAGGGUAUGACACAUGAGCUGUUCCUAGGGUCUGCUGACCUGUAACAUGUGACUGGGGUUAGAGGUCAGGGAGGAAGAACAACGGUUCUAAAUGUGAACUCAAGCACUCAAUUAGGCAGAGAGAGCGAGAAAGAGAGGGAGAGAGACAAAGAGAAUGAGAGAGAGAGAGGACUGAUGUUCUUUUAAAUAUAUGUUUUAUUUAACCUUUAUUUAACUAGGCAAGUACAGAGACAUCAUACUGACCUACUUUAACCUCUAGUCAAUAUGUUAGAAUCAGACUUUAUAGAGAAAGGGGCUCCCACUGCAUAAACUGCAUACAUGUAUAUAUUAUUAUUAUUAUAUAUUUGUAUUAUUACUAGUAUUCGUAUAUACAGUAUACAGUGCAGUCGGAAAGUAUUCAGACCCCUUGACUUUUUCCACAUUUUGUUACGUUACAGCCUUAUUCUAAAAGGUUUUUUUUUUUUAAAUCCCUGCAUCAAUCUACAAACAAUACCCCAUAAUCACAAAGCAAGUACUGGUUUUUAUUAUUUUUUUUAACAGAUGUAUAAAAAAUAAAAAUCUGAAAAUCACAUUUACAUCAGUAUUCAGACCCUUUACUCUGUACUUUGUUGAAGCACCUUUGGCAGUGAUAACAGCCUUGAGUAUUCUUGGGUAUGAUGCUACAAGUUUGGCACACCUGUAUUUGGGGAGUUUCUCCUAUUCUUCUCUGCAGAUCCUCUCAAACUCUGUCAGGUUGGAUGGGGGGGCGUUGCUGCACAGCUAUUUUCAGGUCUCUCCAGAGAUGUUAGAUCGGGUUAAUGUCUGGCCUCUGGUUAGGCCACUCAAGGACAUUCAGAGACUUGUCCCGAAGCCACUCCUGCGUUGUCUUGGCUGUGUGCUUAGGGUCGUCGUUCUGUUGGAAGGUGAACCUUCGCCCCAGUCUGAGGUCCUGAGCGCUCUGGAACAGGUUUUCAUCAUGGAUCUCUCUGUACUUUGCUCUGUUCAUCUUUCCCUCGUUCCUGACUAGUCUCCCAGUCCCUGCUGCUGAAAAACAUCCCCACAACAUUUUUCUUUAUUUUGACUAUUUUCUACAUUGUAGAAUAAUAGUGAAGACAUCAACACUAUGAAAUAACACAUAUGGAAUCAUGUAGUAACCAAAAAAGUGUUAAACAAAUCAACAUUUAUUUUAUAUUUGAGAUUCUUCAAAUAGCCACUCUUUGCCUUGAUGACAGCUUUGCACACUAUUGGCAUUCUCUCAACCAGCUUCACCUGGAAUGCUUUUCCAACGGUCUUGAAGGAAUUCCCACAAGCUGAGCACUUGUUGGCUGCUUUUCCUUCAAUCUGCGGUCCAAUUCAUCCCAAACCAUCUCAAUUGGGUUGAGGUCUUGUGAUUGUGGAGGCCAGGGCAUCUGAUGCAGUACUCCAUCACUAUCCUUCUUGGUCAAAUAGCCCUUACACAGCCUGGAGGUGUGUUGGGUCAUUGUCCUGUUGAAAAACAAAUGGGAUGGCAAACCAGAUGGGUUGGCGUAUCGCUGCAGAAUGCUGUGGUAACCAUGCUGGUGAAGUGUGCCUUGAAAUCUAAAUGAAUCACGAACACUGUCACUAGCAAAGCACCAUCACACCUCCUCCUCCAUGCUUCAUGGUGGGAACCACACAUGUGGAGAUCAUCCAUUCACCUACUUUGCGUUUCACAAAGUUACAGCGAAUGGAACCAAAAAUCUAGAAUUUGGACUUAUUGAUGUCCUGUUAGUCGUGGUUUCUUUGCAGCAAUUCGACCAUGAAGGCCUGAUUCACCCAGUCUCUUCUGAACAUUUGAUGUUGAGAUGUGUCUGUUACUUGAACUCUUGUGAAGCAUUUAUUUGGGCUGAAUUCUGAGGUGCAGUUAACUCUAGUGAACGUAUCCUCUACAGCAGAGGUGGGCAACUCCAGUCCUCGAGAGUCUGACUGGUGUCACAGUUUUGCCCCCAGGCCUCAGCUAACACACCUGACUCCAAUAAUCACCUAAUCAUGAUCUUCAGUUUAGAAUGCAAUUUGAUUAAUCAGCUGUGUUUGCUGGGGAUGGGGGGGGGGGGGGGGUAGGACACCAAUCAGGCCCUCGAGGACUGGAGUUCCCCCCCCCCCCCCCCCCCCCCCCGCUCUACAGCAGAGGUAACUCUGGGUCUUCCUUUCCUGUGGCGGUCCUCAUGAGAGCCAGUUUCAUCAUGGAGCUUGAUGGUUUUUACAACUGCACCUGAAGAACUGUUCAAAGUUAUUGAAAUGUUCCAUAUUGACUGACCUUCAUGUCUUAAAGUAAUGAUGGACUGUUGUUUCUCUUUGCUUAUUUCAGCUGUUCUUGCCAUAAUAGGGACUUGGUCUUUUACAAAAUAGGGCUAUCUUCUGUAUACCACCCCUACCUUGUCACACACAAAUGAUUGACUCAAACGCAUUAAGAAGGAAAUCAAUUCCACAAACUAACUUUUAACAAGGCACAACUGUUAAUUGCAGUGUAUUCCAGGUGAUUACCUCAUGAAGCUGGUUGAGAGAAUGCCAAUAGUGUUCAAAAAGUUGUCAUCAAGGCAAAGGGUGGCUACUUUGAAGAAUCUCAAACACAAAUAUAUUUGUUUAACACUUUUUUGGUUACUACUUGAUUCCUUAUGUGUUAUUUCAUAGUUAUGAUGUCUUCACUAUUAUUCUACAAAAACCCUUGAGUGAGUAGGUGUGUCCAAACAUUUGACUGGUACUGUAUAUUAUUAUAAUUGUUAGUAUUAUAUAACAUUAUAUAUAUAUAUAUAUAUAUAUAUAUUAUAUGUGGAAAAUAAGUGUAAAAGUGAAACCUACUUGGAAUAAGAGAACUUUCAUGUAAAUGCCAUGUGACAUUUAAAGGUGAACGGUUGCUGUGUGGAACAUUGUGAGAUUUAUUAUGAGAGGUGAUGUAAACGUCAUCGAAGGCUCAAGUCACAUGGCUAGAGCUCACACACGCCUACAGUACAUGUGAAUACUUAUGUAAACUAGAUAUUUC
ensembl:lncRNA